UGAGGAAUAUUGGUCAAUGGGCGGGAGCCUGAACCAGCCAAGCCGCGUGAGGGAAGAAGGCCCUAUGGGUCGUAAACCUCUUUUGUCAGGGAACAAAAGCGAGUAUGUAUACUGGUCUGAGUGUACCUGAAGAAAAAGCAUCGGCUAACUCCGUGCCAGCAGCCGCGGUAAUACGGAGGAUGCGAGCGUUAUCCGGAUUUAUUGGGUUUAAAGGGUGCGUAGGCGGCGGUGCAAGUCAGCGGUAAAAGCCCGGGACUCAACCCCGGCGAGCCGUUGAAACUGCAGUGCUAGAGAAGGCGAGAGGUACGCGGAAUGCGCAGUGUAGCGGUGAAAUGCUUAGAUAUUGCGCAGAACUCCGAUCGCGAAGGCAGCGUACUGGCGCCUGACUGACGCUGAGGCACGAAAGCGUGGGGAUCGAACAGGAUUAGAUACC
rnacentral:rRNA from 1 species